CCUACGGGAGGCAGCAGUGAGGAAUAUUGGUCAAUGGGCGAGAGCCUGAACCAGCCAAGUCGCGUGAAGGAUGACGGCCCUACGGGUUGUAAACUUCUUUUGUCAGGGAGCAAUUGGGUCCACGCGUGGGCUUAGCGAGAGUACCUGAAGAAAAAGCAUCGGCUAACUCCGUGCCAGCAGCCGCGGUAAGACGGAGGAUGCGAGCGUUCUCCGGAUUUAUUGGGUUAAAGGGGUGCGUAGGGGGAAGAUCAAGUCAGCGGUAAAAAUUCGGGGGUCAACCCCGUAGUGCCGUUGAAACUGAUGUUCUUGAGUGCGGUAGAGGUAUGCGGAAUGCGUGGUGUAGCGGUGAAAUGCAUAGAUAUCACGAAGAACGCCGAUUGCGAAGGCAGCAUACCGGCGCCCAACUGACGCUGAAGCACGAAAGCGUGGGUAUCGAACAGGAUUAGAUACCCCUGUAGUC
rnacentral:rRNA from 1 species